AGCAGCCGCGGUAAUUCCAGCUCCAAUAGCGUAUAUUAAAGUUGCUGCAGUUAAAAAGCUCGUAGUUGAAUUUCGGGACCAAUUUGUCGGUCGUGCCUCGGUACGCACUGGCUUAUUGGUUUCUCCCUUCUGAAGAACCAUGAUGUCAUUUAUUUGGUGUCGUGGGGAAUCAGGACUGUUACUUUGAAAAAAUUAGAGUGUUUAAAGCAGGCUCACGCUUGAAUACAUUAGCAUGGAAUAAUGAAAUAGGACGUUUGAUUCUAUUUUGUUGGUUUCUAGGAUCGACGUAAUGAUUAAUAGGGAUAGUUGGGGGCAUUAGUAUUCAAUUGUCAGAGGUGAAAUUCUUGGUAUUUAUUGAAGACUAACUACUGCGAAAGCAUUUGCCAAGGAUGUUUUCUAUUAAUCAAGAACGAAAGUUAAGGGGAUCGAAGACGAUCAGAUACCGUCGUAGUCUUAACCAUAAACUAUGCCGACUAGGGAUCGGAUGAUGUUUAAUUUUUAAUGACUCAUUCGGCGUACC
rnacentral:rRNA from 1 species